GUAAGCGGCAAGAGCAGGGCCCUCAGACACUCACCCAGGAGAGUCCUCCUGGGCAGCAGAGCACAGCAGUCCUUAGGAAGUUUCUCCCUUCUGAGGGGAAAGGGCCAUAGCAGGUAUCGAAGGAAAUUAGAAAGAGAGGUGAAUGGUUAAUAUUUAUUAUCAUCAAUAAAUGUGGUUGUUGUUUUUAAAAUUUGUGGAAUAGAAAGGAAAGGGGUUAUAGGAGGAAUAAGUGAUAUUAUUAUUAUUAUUACUAGUAGUAGUAGUACAAUAUUUAUAUCCCACCUUUCCAAGAACUUCAUGGCUUGAGUGGGUAUUUGAACCCAGGAAGGAAGGAAGACACUGGCAGCUUUUCUUUUCUUUUCUUUUCUUUUCUUUUCUUUUCUUUUCUUUUCUUUUCUUUUCUUUUCUUGGUGGAGGAGAUGAGGUACAAGCUGAGUGUGAAAGGAGAGUGGGAGAAGAAGUUGCAGGAAAUGUGUAACAGCCCUCUGAGAGGAAAAAAAAUACACAGUGGUACCUCAGGUUACAUACGCUUCAGGUUACAGACGAUUCAGGUUACAGACUCCGCUAACCCAGAAAUAUUACCUCGGGUUAAGAACUUUGCUUCAGGAUGAGAACAGAAAUCGUGCUCUGGCGGCGCAGCGGCAGUGGGAGGCCCCAUUAGCUAAAGUGGUGCUUCAGGUUAAGAACAGACCUCCAGAACGAAUUAAGUUCUUAACCCGAGGUACCACUGUAAAAGGAAAUAAAGCCUUCUUCAGUUAGAGACUCUACGCCAGCAAAUUCAAUACCUCCAGAGCAAAUGGACUUAACCUGAGGAAAGCUGAAAUAUGGAACUCUUUGCCACAAGGAAGAAAACAGCGGCCAAAAACCUUACCUAAGUCAUCCUUGGAAAUGGCUAUCAGUAGACAGCCUGCUGGUUAUGCCAUCUCUGCUUCCGUUUUUGCGACUGGCUCUGCGUCUGCAUCACCAUUUUGUGGUGAUAACAGAAGGUAACAGCUUGCUUCUCUUCCUCAUAAGAUUUGUAUUACUUCCCCAGGCCUUGAAAAAGUUGUGCUUCAUCCCUGUUGCCUCACUUCCUGAGAGCGAAACCAGGCCCCUUCUCAACUCUGAUCCCUCAGUCGCCUCGCAAAUUCCAAGCUUCAGUCAAUAAGGUAAGUUCCGUUACAGAUAUUGUUAUUGUCGAUAUUUAGAGCAUUUGGGGGCAUCCUAACAUUCUGGCAUAGACUACCAUUUAACUACAGCUAUGUUUGGCCAGUAGGAUAUUUCUGACAAGACACAAACGACAUUUCAGUGGAACUACACACACUGUCCAUAAAUGAUUAUGUAUGUGCCUCCUGCUGAUGAGCCUAAUAUCUGACGUAUUGUUUGCUUUGCACUUUUCUGUCCUCUAAGAAUAAAACAUCAGAAGUGACUCCAAAGUGAUGUUUUCAAUCUGCAGCCUCCUCCUCCCUGGAUUCUCUCUUGAGUGCUGCAUAAAUUUUGUUAUGUCUUUCCAGAGCCUGACAUUGCUUUACAUCUGUUGAAUCUUAAUUUCCGAAGGAUUAUGUCCCUGUUUAUUUUAAACCAGCUAUGGAAUUGUGUGCAAACCAGUCAGCCUCUCAGAUAGCAGCAGUUGUUCCUGGAACAACUCUCUUAGAAGGCAUACCAUGAAAAUACCCCACCACCACAACAAAACAAAACAAAACAAACAACAGCAGCAACAAUAACAACAGCCUCAUAGUGGGAGAAAAUGCUUUUUUGCUUGGCAUUAUGAAAACAGAACUAAUAUUUUAUGGGCCAAUAUUAAAUUGAGGCAAGAAGAAAUUCAGGCAGAAAUUCAGGAAGAAAUUCAGCAUCAGGAGAAGGGACUCAUAGGAAAUCACUUCUCUUUUGCAAUAUGAAAACCACACUGAGGAGGCCAGCACUGACAUGGAGAGUUUAUUUGGAGACUUGGAUUGAUCCAUAAGACCAGAAUAUAUUUCCUGGUGUGCCAAUAGGAUUAUCAAACAAUCCUUAAUCAUGGCUACUGUGAGGCCAGAACACUAGGUCAUAUCCAGCUGUGUCGUUCUGCUGUUGGAAGGCUCUUGUUGGAUGCUGGAGGCCAGGGAGCAGGAAUGUUUCUUAACUGUUUAUUAUUAAAUACUUAUUGCAUCUUUGCUGAAAGGGCAUAUGCUCAGAUAAUCUUAAUUAAGGACUACUGAGAGUCCUAUUGAUACUAUAUGUUAUUGUCAAUAUUUUCUCUUCUAGUUAAAUCAUUGACAACUAUUACAUCCUGUGUUCCUAGAAGUUGCAUUUGUAUUUUAGAAUGAGAAUCCCAGAGUGAUGCAAAAUUAGAUACUAAUUUUAGCAAAAAUAGCUCUUCAUAAAAUAUAUGGUUCAUUUCGUUAUUGUGCCCUGUGUGCUUUUUUCUUUUUAACUCCCAUGAUGCUGGAGCAUGUCACCUAAUAUUUGUUUGCAAUUGAAAGCAUUUCGUUUAGAAUAGCAUCACUGUUAACAACUGCCACUACAAAUAUAUCAGUUUUAAGGCAUGUCUUCCCUUUGCCCAUCAAAUCCUGAAAAUGUAGUCUGGUGGGGAUACAGAGAAAUUCUGUUAGAGAUCAUUAGACUACAUCACAGAACCAUGGUUCCUUAGCAGCCAGUUUAAAUCUCUAGUGUGGAUAGUCUUUUGUGGAGGAAGACCACAAUCCAAUAAGCAAGCAUAAUUCUGUGCUGGAUUGUGGCCAAAAAAAUAAUUACAUGGAAAUGGUUGGUGAUGUUGGUGUAAGCAAUUUGCUAAGCUAAUGACACACCCAGUUUAAUUGAUUAAUAACUAGUGAUUGAAAAUUAAAAAACAAAAGUCAGAAAAGAAAUUGCAGCAGUUUAAGAGACCCAUCCUGAAUAGAAUAAAUACAAUGUUUGAAUAUCUGACCACAGGUAUCAACUAUAUUUUCCCCUAAAGACCGUUAUACAAGAAGAGCCCUUUUAAAAUGGGCUAACUUUUAGCAAACAUUCAGUAAUCUCUGUGAAAUGAAUGGACAGCUUUGUUGCUGUUAUGGGUUGAUGCAAAAUACAGGUUUAGAAUCACAUAUCCUGCAUCUUUCUUUGGAUGAUAAAUUUUCUAAAAUAAGACCGGCUGUUGGGCAACAAAACUGCAGUUUUAUUGUUGAACAUCAAAGCAAAAUGAAUGCAUUGUUCUAUGUUUUACAGUUCCCUUAUGGUGCUUAAACAGUGCUAAGGGGCUACCCCCUCAUUUGGCUAGGUUUUCAUACUAAAAUAAUCAAGCCAAAACUUUUCUAUUUAUAUUUUAAAGAACUUGGAAUUAAGUGAAAUUCGGAAAUCAUACACACACUUGGCAAGAGAAGCCUGCACUGCAGUCCUUCAAGUCUUAUAUGUAACAGCCGUCUGCAGAAAUGCCAUCCAUAGAUGUUUACUGAAUCAAGUGCUACGUCUUAAAGAUUUACAGCUUUAAUGGAAACCCAAAUUUGUCACUGUAAAAUAUAAAUAUAAAUAUGCCUAGAUUAUAUAUUCCAUUUUAUAGGUAAUGUUUUGGGUGUUCACAUAAUUCACAUACGGUAAUUCACAUAUGGGUUUACACAUAUGAGAAGUUCUCCAACCUCUCUCACCACCAAGGAAACAUAACAAGCAAAUAGAAAGAGAACCUACCCAAGUGACGCUGACACAAAACCCCCACACAUACACUAGGUGAAAGAACAUAAGCUUUAGCACCCCACCCCCCUCUCCCGUUUGCCCUCUUUUCUUCCCAACCCUAUACUGCAUAUAGCACCAAUGUCUCACAACAACUGUAACUGAUCUGUAGAAAACACAGCCUGAAGAAAGAGACAAUGCAUGUGCUUUUGUAAACAAGG